CAGCUAAUGUCGUUGCGCAUCUUUAUUACUAGCAACGCAAAAAAGGAAUUGCGUUUAGUGGCCGGAUUUUGGUUUGGUGCGUUUGGUGAUCAGACGGAAAAACUAUACUAGUGGCUGCAUUCGAUGUGACAUGAAGGAGCUAAUGACAGUGUUUUCGAAACGAACAGCUUUUUUGCAGAUGUAUGCUUUCGUAGUGCUAGAGGUACGGCUUUGCCGAAUAUCAGCUGCAUCUGCAUCUGUUUUGUUCGUCCAGUAUUUUUCUCAUAACGAAGGCGUUUGUAUCAACUUGUAGUCAGCAUAAACAUGUACGAAUGGUGUAACGUUUUUUUUAACAACAGGGGAAACAGGUA